UUUAAUUGAAGAGUUUGAUCAUGGCUCAGAUUGAACGCUGGCGGCAGGCCUAACACAUGCAAGUCGAACGGUAACAGGGAGCAGCUUGCUGCUCUGCUGACGAGU
rnacentral:rRNA from 1 species